rnacentral:rRNA from 1 species
UACGUAGGUGGCAAGCGUUGUCCGGAUUUACUGGGCGUAAAGAGCGCGCAGGCGGUCGUCCAAGUCGCGUGUGAAAGCCCCCGGCUCAACUGGGGAGGGGCAUUCGAUACUGAUCGACUCGAAGGCAGGAGAGGGUAGUGGAAUUCCCGGUGUAGUGGUGAAAUGCGUAGAUAUCGGGAGGAACACCAGUGGCGAAGGCGACUACCUGGCCUGUUCUUGACGCUGAGGCGCGAAAGCUAGGGGAGCAAACGGG